rnacentral:rRNA from 1 species
CCUACGGGGGGCAGCAGUGGGGAAUAUUGCACAAUGGGGGAAACCCUGAUGCAGCGACGCCGCGUGAGUGAAGAAGUCAUUCGUUAUGUAAAGCUCUAUCAGCAGGGAAGAAAAUGACGGUACCUGAGUAAGAAGCCCCGGCUAACUACGUGCCAGCAGCCGCGGCUAUACGUCGGGGGCAAGCGUUAUCCGGAUUUUCUGGGAGUAAAGGGAGCGUAGACGGCAGUGCAAGUCUGGAGUGAAAGGCGGGGGGUCAACCCCCGGACUGCUCUGGAAACUGUACGGCUGGAGUGCAGGAGAGGUAAGUGGAAUUCCUAGUGUAGCGGUGAAAUGCGUAGAUAUUAGGAGGAACACCAGUGGCGAAGGCGGCUUACUGGACUGUAACUGACGUUGAGGCUCGAAAGCGUGGGGAGCAAACAGGAUUAGAUACCCCAGUAGUC